UACGUAGGGGGCUAGCGUUGUCCGGAAUCAUUGGGGUACGUAAGCGCGUGUGAGCGGCUUUGCAAGUCGGGCGUGAAAUUCCACGGCUCAACCGUGGAAGUGCACUCGAAACUGCAGAGCUAGAGUCCUGGAGAGGAAGGUGGAAUGCUUGGUGUAGAGGUGAAAUUCGUAGAUAUCAAGCGGAACACCGGUGGCGAAGGCGGCCUUCUGGACAGUGACUGACGCUGAGACGCGAAAGCGUGGGGAGCAAACAGG
rnacentral:rRNA from 1 species